GACGAACGCUGGCGGCGUGCCUAAUACAUGCAAGUAGAACGCUGAAGGAGGAGCUUGCUUCUCUGGAUGAGUUGCGAACGGGUGAGUAACGCGUAGGUAACCUGCCUGGUAGCGGGGGAUAACUAUUGGAAACGAUAGCUAAUACCGCAUAAUAGUAGAUGUUGCAUGACAUUUGCUUAAAAGGUGCAAUUGCAUCACUACCAGAUGGACCUGCGUUGUAUUAGCUAGUUGGUGGGGUAACGGCUCACCAAGGCGACGAUACAUAGCCGACCUGAGAGGGUGGUCGGCCACACUGGGAAUGAGACACGGCCCAGACUCCUGCGGGAGGCAGCAGUAGGGAAUCCUCGGGAAUGGACGGAAGUCUGACCGAGCAACGCCGCGUGAGUGAAGAAGGUUUUCGGAUCGUAAAGCUCUGUUGUAAGGGAAGAACGAGUGUGAGAGUGGAAAGUUCACGCUGUGACGGUAUCUUACCAGAAAGGGACGGCUAACUACGUG
rnacentral:rRNA from 1 species